rnacentral:rRNA from 1 species
UGGGGAAUUUUGGACAAUGGGCGAAAGCCUGAUCCAGCCAUUCCGCGUGAGUGAAGAAGGCCUUCGGGUUGUAAAGCUCUUUCGCAAGGGAAGAAUACUUAGUCUCUAACAUAGACUGAGGUUGACGGUACCUUGAUAAGAAGCACCGGCUAACUACGUGCCAGCAGCCGCGGUAAUACGUAGGGUGCGAGCGUUAAUCGGAAUUACUGGGCGUAAAGCGUGCGCAGGCUGUUUUGUAAGUCAGAUGUGAAAUCCCCGAGCUCAACUUGGGAACUGCGUUUGAAACUACAAGACUAGAAUAUGUCAGAGGGGGGUAGAAUUCCACGUGUAGCAGUGAAAUGCGUAGAGAUGUGGAGGAAUACCAAUGGCGAAGGCAGCCCCCUGGGAUAAUAUUGACGCUCAUGCACGAAAGCGUGGGGAGCAAACAGG